UAAUUUAGAGUCUUGACAAAACCUAAAACCAGUUGACCUUUUUAUUACAAGUUUUUAAAUUCAAAGAGUAUCUAAAAUCAAUACAGUCUCAACUUUGUGUUGUAUACUUCUGUUUUUAGAAUGAAAUUCCGCACUUUGAAGCCAACUCGGAAAGAAGCAGAAACAGAUUUGGAUGACCUGAUAUAAAAUUAGACAAGAAAAACAUAUUAUGAGAAUACAUUAUUACAGUACAGACCAUUGAUGCUGGAAGUGAGUGGAUAGUGUUACCGAUGACUCAGGGAUUCAGAAAAUAGAUCCAUAAAUUGUACAGUGUAUUCAUGAAAGUGGAUCAAAUAAAAAUGAUCAAUCUAAAAGUACCAGUAGCUACUGGGGCCCUAGCUUUCUUGCCAUUUUGUUCCUUAAUUAAGACAGCAGGAGAAUAUAUCAUUGGUUCAAGACCAAAGUCAUUCGUUCUUGACAGACAUGG